UAGAUGAUCCCUGACCUCCC
rnacentral:piRNA from 1 species